rnacentral:lncRNA from 1 species
ACAUCGGCCAUGGUUUGAGUGGGCUUAGCUAUUAACCAAGCUUCCACCACCAAGAAGAAAUCCCGGGGAGGCCCCCUGAUUUUAGCUACCGAUGGUUUGUGCACACACUUAACACUCUCUUUAGAAUGAGCCACUGUUAAAGGCAGACAGUAGUUGGGUUUACCACUUGGAUCACCCUGACCAUCCCCACGGCAAAAACCAAAAGGCCCCAGUCAUCUUUCUCUUCAACAAUGUACAUCUUUCUACAAAUUCCAAACUCACAGCAGCUGGCAAAAAUUGGACCCAGCCUUUCAAAAGGGGAAGCCUGCAGGGGUGCCUGGGUGGCUCAGUCAGUUGAGCUUCCAACUCUUGGUGUUGGCUCAGGUCAUAAUCUCGUGGUUGUGGGAUCAAGCCCUGCUUCCACUCUGUGCUCCAUGCAAAGGCAAAGUCAGCUUCAGAUUCUUUCUCUCUCUCCCUCUGCCUCUCCCGGCUCUCUCUCUCUCUCUCAAGUGAAUAAAUAAAAUAUUUUAAAAAGGUUGGGGGGGGUAGCAAAUGGCAGAUUUCAAAAACCACAGCACCAACCCUGAGCUGUACACUCCUUACCUGUUGCCCUGACUGCCAUUCAGUAGUUUAAAAACAGGAAACAAAUAUCAGGUGAUUGAAAAGCUUCAGCCUUGCACUGUUUUAUUGACUUGUCACUGUAGAUAAAUUGACUAUAAUUUACUUCAAGAGUAAAUUACUAGAUGUUCAUAAAAAAAACCUGUCCCUAAUUAAGAUGUUAAACAUGAUUCCAUUUUUAAAUUGGAGGAGCCAACAGAAAUGAAAGAUGCUGAUGGUGCUAUAUUUCACUCCUUUUUUUUUUUUUCUCCCCUUCCUCUCCAUGCAUCAGUUAAUGGUUUGGAUAUUGAUGGGCAGAUGUGGCAAAGCAGAACACGAGUUCUUGAAAUUUCUCCUACCAUAUUAUUGUUUGGGUUCUGUUCAUUUUGUUUACUUUUGCUUCAUGUUUCUCCUUAUGUCUAUGUCACUAACACUCAUCUUUAAAGAAAUUCUGUAAGUCACAUACUUUGUUGGGGACCCAGCUGGUUAAAUUAGAGAAAUCAGGAAGGUUUGAGAGGGCAGAGGAGGGGAAUCUAUGUGACCUCCUCAUAUGGCCAUUUAAGAUUACGUAGAAGCAAUGAAGGGCUGAAAACUUUUUGCAAAACAAACAAAAUAUGUGCUAUGUAGCUAAGAAUAAGAAAAAUAACCUGAAUAGUUUUUCCCCAGAAAUGAGAGAUUGUGGGAGAGGUAUUUUAAGAAGAGGAACAGAGGGACGCCUGGGUGGCUCAAUGGUUAAGCGUCUGCCUUCAGCUCAGGGCAUGAUCUUGGGGACCCAGGAUCGAGUCCUGCAUCGGGCUCCCUACAUGGAGCCUGCUUCUCCCUCUGCCUGUGUCUCUGCCUCUCUCUCUUUCUCUCUCUCUCUGUGUCUCACAAAUAAAUAAAUAAAAUCCUUUAAAAAAAAAAAAAAAAGAGGAACAGAAAACGUUCUCCAAAGCCAAGGAAAGUUAGAAUAAUUGUCUUCACAAUUCAGAAUGGAACUCAAUGGGCUGAGAAAAGAGAUGGUGUGUCUGGGUACUGGAUAAGAGUUUCCCCCAAAAGUUAGGAAUCCUUAGGAUGACUCUUUGCCUUCACUGAUUCAGAAAAUAUUUGUUGAGAAUCUGUGGGGUUCUGGGCACCAAGCUAGGUACAAAGGAGCCCAGAAUGGACAUAACUGUCUGUGGUCUUGACAUGAGCCGUUGGCCUCCAGGCAGGCAGCUUUCAGCUCCAUCGCAUCCAGCCUUCCAACACAUUCCUUGCUCUACUUGGAACAAUACAUUCCCCCUUUCCAUCCACCUUCCCCUAACUUCUCCAACGCAUGAUCCUUCUCAUCCUUAAAUACUGAAUAUAAAUAUCUCAUCUUCUAACGUCCGGACUGGGUGUCCUGGCCACAGGACUCUGUUCUCAGCCUUUAUGGCACUUAGUGCAAUUGUAAUGGAUCUUUGA